rnacentral:rRNA from 1 species
CACGUAGGGGGCAAGCGUUGUCCGGAUUUAUUGGGCGUAAAGAGCUCGUAGGCGGCUCGGUAAGUCGGAUGUGAAACCUCCAGGCUCAACCUGGAGACGCCAUCUGAUACUGCCGUGGCUUGAGUCCGGUAGAGGAGCAGGGAAUUCCUGGUGUAGCGGUGAAAUGCGCAGAUAUCAGGAGGAACACCAGCGGCGAAGGCGGGAUCCUGGGCCAGUACUGACGCUGAGGAGCGAAAGCGUGGGGAGCAAACAGG